AGUCGAUCAAGCCCUUGCAAGAUAGUAAUGCAUUUUUGCAUUCUAGGGUUACAAUGGCGACUAAUAAACAAGACGACCAUGCAGAUCUGAUAGAGAAGAGACCCACCCCGGUGACCUCCUACAGCCAUGGUCGAUGGCAGCCCCGGCAAGGAGUGGCUCACGGUCACAGGAGAGAAGGAUCUCCGUACCCUACAAAGCUCGCUGGAGACGGAUCCAUAGGAGCGCAACCAGCAGCUCAAGUAGUUUUACCCGUGCAACCAUCCUGCUAAUUCGCUGGACCUGAAGAAUACCGACGAGUCAACGGACACAGGACGUUCCUGCAGGCUCUGCUGCAGGAGCUACAUCAUCCACUCGCAUACUGUACAUUGUUUACUGAGACAACAUCAACAUGGAAUAUUUGUCUGUCAACUCAGUGAAGCACCAACGGAUCAAGGACAUUGAGGUUGAUAUUUGUAUUCUACUCGAAAAAGGUGACUAUAUUAAUUAAUUCUAAGCACCCCU
rnacentral:rRNA from 1 species